rnacentral:rRNA from 1 species
UACGGGGGGGGCAAGCGUUGUUCGGAAUUACUGGGCGUAAAGGGCUCGUAGGUGGCCAACUAAGUCAACCGUGAAAUCCCUCGGCUUAACCGGGGAACUGCAUUUGAUACUGGAUGGCUUGAGUUUGGGAGAGGGAUGCGGAAUUCCAGGUGUAGCGGUGAAAUGCGUAGAUAUCUGGAGGAACACCGGUGGCGAAGGCGGCAUCCUGGACCAAUACUGACGCUGAGGAGCGAAAGCUAGGGGAGCAAACGGG